GAGCAGUCUGUUAGCAAUAAGGGGAGAAGGUGUUGGUACUAAAACAAUCCCAAACUCCUACAGGUUGUUUGAGUGGUGGAGGGAUGGGAAGAAGGAGGGACGGUUUCCUGCCAUCUAACACAGCCUAAUUACAAAACAACACCGCUCUGUGGAGGUGGGGGGGUGGAGGGGGGAGGCUCAACCGCCUGUCGAGCGCAAAAGAUUGAUGAUGUUAGUGUGACCUGCAGAGGGGAGACCCACCCAGACACCAGCGCUACACUUUCAGCUCCUGUCAGGGAGGGCAGCAGCGGCCCCAUCGCCAAACAUCCACGAGGAGACACCAGCAAACCACCGCCACCUGUCCCGCCCCAGCCAGCUGUGAUCUCCACUACGCCUUCAGCAGCUUCAUUGUAGGAACAGAGAUCGUGAUGGAAACAGAGACAAUUCUACCCCGGCCAGCGAGGAAGUGACAUGCAUCUACGUCUGGCACGUCAGGGAGACAGCUCGUGAUGGAUGGUGUCUGGCUGGAGCAUCUCCUCCUCUUCGGUCCUUCCCUCCGUCACAUCUGAAGACGGGCUGGACAAAGACUGCCUGACAGGCGACUCGGGCGGCCUCUCAGCAGGCAGGAGUGAUGGACGAGGCUGAACAGGAUGCAGCUUCUCUUGUUUCUGGUCUCACCCCCCCUCAAUCCCUACCCUCCACCUGUCCGAGUCCUCAUGGGGGAUGACUCGUGCCCCACCAGGCGCCCCCCAGUGAGGGAAGUGAUGUCUAAACAGAGCUGACCCUGACAGGAGGGACAUAGCCUGGCCUGUCCUGCAUGUUGGAGUGAUGGGUGAAUGAUGUACUUACAAACUGCUCGGCGCAGGAAGUCGGUCGUAGCGGGGAUGGAGAGCGCAGGAAACGAAGGAGGGGAAAAAAGAGAAGGAGGUUAGUGAGAGAGGUGAUGGAUUUGGGUGAAAUCACCUGACAAUACAGUGGUCCCUCACUAUCUCAGGGCUCAAAUUUCUGAGUUUUGACGAAAUUUCUUCAGUGUAAUUUAGCUUUUUUGACAAAUUUACGUAAAUCUUGGAUCCCUGUCAAACCUUAGUUUUUAAUUGUAUAAUACAGGAUUUAUUUUUAAAAGUUUAAAGUUUGAGAGUUUAAACAGAAAAGUGUAAAAAUGUUAACAUCUGUCAAAGAAAGUGCAUAAGAGUAUGCAGGGAAGGGUUUUACAUCCAUGAAAAGAUGAAGACUAUAACACCAUGUUAUCUCCACUUUGAGGCACACUUACAAACCUAAACUUUUAACUCCACUUCGCCUAAUAAUCUUAACGUAUAGAUUCAUUCUGGUUGUGUUUACUGAUGUCAGAGCAAGCUUGAGAGGUUUUUUAAGAGUUACAAACAAAGUUGGGCGUUAGCAUAAACACGCUAACGUGUUUAGCGAUGUUGGACUGUGUUUUUUUUACGGUACUAACAAGGUUGGGAGUUAGAGGUAUAGUAAAUACACAAACAUGGCUAACGUUUACCAGUGUAAAACAUUUUUUAAAUGUAUUAGCAAGGUUUGAAGUCAGCGUAAUCACAUUAGGCUAACAGUUUCAGUGUGUUUUUCUCCCUGUUACUAGCAUGGUAGGAAGUUAGUGUGGUCACGGUAAUGUUUAUUUUAGCGAUGUCAUUCUGUUCUUUUUCCAUGUUACUAGCUAGGUCAGAGCUUAGCUUAGUCACAGUAAUAUUUGUUUUAGCAGUAUCACUUUUCACAUGUUGCAAAUAAGCUCGGGAGUUACAGGUAUUGUAAAUACGCUAACACGGCUAGCAUAUAGCAGUGACGGACAGUGUUCUUUUCACGUUCAAAUAAAAAUAAAGUUGGGAGUUAGCGUAGUCACAGUAGUUUUUUUAUUUUUUUAGCUGUGUCAGUCCCUAUAUUUACACAUUACUGACAUGGUUGAAAUUUACAGGGAUUGUGAACACGCUAACGCAGCUAACAUGUAGCAGUGUCGGAUUGUGCUUAUUUUAUGUCUUACCAACAAGUUUUGGAGUUCGGGUAGUCACAGAAAUGUUAAUUUUAGUCUGUAUUUUCAUGUUGCUAGCAUGGUUAGGGAUUAGUGUAGUCACAGUAAUGCUUGAUUUAGCUGUAUCAGUCUGUUUUUUACAAGUUGCAAAUAAGGUUGGGAGUUACAGGUAUUCAAAAUACAGUAACAUGAUUAACGUACAGCAGUGUCGCAUUCUGUUUUUUUUUUUUUUUUUUACGUGUAACUAGCAUGGUUGGGAGUUAGCGUAGUCACCAUAACAUUUGUUUUAGCAGUAUCAGUCUUUAUUUGUACUUGUUACUAGCAAGCUUAGCAGUUACAGGUAUUGCGAAUACGCUAACCCAGCUAACGGUUAGCAGUGUCGGACUUUGUUUAUUUUACGUGUUACCAACACAGUUUGGAGCUAGCAUAGUCACAGUAACAUUUGUUUUAGCGCUAUCAGUCUGUUAUUUUCAUAUGUUACCAACAAGGUUAGAAGUUACAGGCAUUGUGAAUAUGCUAGGCGGCUAACAUGUAGCGUACUACGAACGAGUUCUAGAGUUACUGUGAACACAGUUAAUAAAAUUUGACUGACUGACUAUCGCUGACUCUAGUCUCACUUCAAGUGCCCCAUAGUUCGUUGCUCCUUAUCUAUGACAUAAGUUUGACGAAAAGAUAAUGAAUUAGAGAUGCACCUUUUAAUCUUAUAGUGCUGAAGAUAUGGAACUUUGUGGUUUUCAUAUAUUCCAGGUUAUUUUUAGAACAUAACCCGGACCAACAAGGGACCGCUGUAUUAGAACUUUAAACCUUUGGUGAGCACAGGAAGUACUCGAAUGCUGCUAGGAUGAUGGGUAAUCCCUUCAGUCCAGGUCAAACACCAGAUUUAAAGCUACUCAGUCAUGUGGUACGCUAGGAUAAACUUCUGCAAAAUCAAGGGAUGUGUAUCGAACCCUUACAGCUCCAACUUUUUCUGUUUUCUCAAAAAAAAAAAAAA